ACGAACGCUGGCGGCGUGCUUAACACAUGCAAGUCGAACGGAAAGGCCCUGCUUUUGUGGGGUGCUCGAGUGGCGAACGGGUGAGUAACACGUGAGUAACCUGCCCUUGACUUUGGGAUAACUUCAGGAAACUGGGGCUAAUACCGGAUAGGAGCUCCUGCUGCAUGGUGGGGGUUGGAAAGUUUCGGCGUUUGGGGAUGGACUCGCGGCUUAUCAGCUUGUUGGUAGGGUAGUGGCUUACCAAGGCUUUGACGGGUAGCGGCCUGGGAGGGUGACCGGCCACAUUGGGACUGAGAUACGGCCCAGACUCCUACGGGAGGCAGCAGUGGGGAAUAUUGCACAAUGGGCGGAAGCCUGAUGCAGCAACGCCGCGUGCGGGAUGACGGCCUUCGGGUUGUAAACCGCUUUCGCCUGUGACGAAGCGUGAGUGACGGUAAUGGGUAAAGAAGCACCGGCUAACUACGUG
rnacentral:rRNA from 1 species